GAAAUUGGUGAGCAUCGGAUCUACUGCCUCGGACCCCAAGGUGGAUGGAAUUCAUGUUGAGAAUAUCACAAUUACACUAUCAGUCCUGGAUCUUUGAGCUUUUAUAGAUCAUUUGAAUUUGAAGUAUAAAGAAAACCUGGAAUGACCUGAGCCCAGGAACAAGUACAGCCUCCUUUGGCAAGUGCCAGAUUCGGGUUAUCCUAUGAAGAGGCCCAAAUAAUAAGGAACUGAGGGAACCCUCAAGCCCUCAGUCAGUGUGUCAUCCUGUAGGGAACUGAGUCCUACCCACAACCGGGUGUGUGAGCCUGGGAGCAGAUCCUGUCGCAGCUGAACCUUGAGAUGACUGCCACCUUGGACAACAUCAUGGCUGCUGCCUGUCAGAGGACCAAGCUCAGCUGCACCAGAUCCCUCACUCAGAGGAACUGUGAGCCA